rnacentral:rRNA from 1 species
AAAUUGAAGAGUUUGAUCAUGGCUCAGAUUGAACGCUGGCGGCAGGCCUAACACAUGCAAGUCGAACGGUAACAGGAAGCAGCUUGCUGCUUCGCUGACGAGUGGCGGACGGGUGAGUAAUGUCUGGGAAACUGCCUGAUGGAGGGGGAUAACUACUGGAAACGGUAGCUAAUACCGCAUAACGUCGCAAGACCAAAGAGGGGGACCUUCGGGCCUCUUGCCAUCGGAUGUGCCCAGAUGGGAUUAGCUUGUUGGUGGGGUAACGGCUCACCAAGGCGACGAUCCCUAGCUGGUCUGAGAGGAUGACCAGCCACACUGGAACUGAGA